GGGGGAAACCGCUGAAGACCGACUGGGAGAGAGAUGGGGAAGUUUGUACUGUUUACCUGUCUGGCCUUUCUGCCAUUGGUUCUCAUUGAGGCUGCCAACAUAACUACCAGCACAGCUGUUAUCCCCACAUACAUUACGACAGUACCAGCAACUAUCUCCUCAAACCCAGUCAGCAACCAACCCUUAACAAACACCAUGUUUCCAAACAAUUCCUCCAUGAUGACAACCUCCAAUAACAACAUCAGCAGUAAUGUCACCAUUGAACCUCCGACCACACCUGUCUCCAACCAUACAACUACGGCCGCUAGGACCCUGGGCCCACAGUCCACACACUCUACUCAAGUCACUUACAUCACCACCACCGCAACCACCCAAACCCCCACAACCCUGGAGUCCCUGCAGACCACUGAGUACACCACAGCAAACCAAACCAACAUAACUGCUACCAGCCAUAUGUCACCAACACCCGAUGGAGGUACAUCAGCCCUGCUGGGCUCUUGCAGUCUCCUCCUGGGGCCCCUGAUCUCCAUAAUGAUCCAAAUUGUAUAUGACUAAGAACACAGCCCUGCGGAAACACUUUACUGGCCCAUGUUUCCCGUUUCCUUCUACAGAUCUUGACCUAUGAAAAUGCACUCUAAAAGAGUACAUUGCUUCACAUUAAUUCACUAAGAACUGUGUGCAGUUUCACAGGUGCAGGCUUCGUAAUAAUGAAUAAUAAUCAUGGAAAAUGAAUAAUAAUAAUGAAUAAUAAUUACGGAGUUGCUAUAUAAAAAGUGGAAAUUGUAGUAGGUGAGCUGUGUAUACUAUUUGUUAGGCAUGGGCAUGUACCUUGCUAAUGUCACACACCUUGCAUUUAUUGUAUGAAGGAGCUAUGAAGUGCUUUGGGACUGAGAAAGACUGAUUGAAAUGACGAGCACUGAGCCCCACCCCCGAUUCACCACUGCCAAUGACUGGUGCCCCCCCACCAUGAAUAUUUAUAUCACCCGAAAACAUAAUCAGGAGCACAAGCUACAAAAAUUCUUACAAUUGACAUACGCAUAGAACAUGUGAAACGUUUGAUUGUAUCGUAGCUGUGAAUAAAAAACAUACUUAAGUA